CAGCCGUAAACUGUGCGCGUUAGGUGUAUCGGUGACCACGAGUUACCGAGGUGCCGAAGGGAAACCGUGAAACGUGCCGCCUGGGAAGUACGGUCGCAAGGCUGAAACUUAAAGGAAUUGGCGGGGGAGCACCACAACAGGUGGAGCCUGCGGUUUAAUUGGACUCAACGCCGGGAAGCUCACCGGAUAGGAUAGCAGAAUGAUUGCCGGGCUGAAGACCCGCAUGACUAGCUGAGAGGAGGUGCAUGGCGUAGACGUCU
rnacentral:rRNA from 1 species